UACAGAGACUGCAAGCGUUAUUCGGAUUCACUGGGCGUAAAGGGUGCGUAGGCGGCCUAAUAAGUCAGUGGUGAAAGCCUCCAGCUUAACUGGAGAACUGCCAUUGAUACUGUUGGGCUUGAGUAUACUUGAGGUAGGCGGAAUUGACAGUGUAGCGGUGAAAUGCAUAGAUAUUGUCAAGAACACCAAUUGCGAAGGCAGCUUACUAAAUUAUAACUGACGCUGAGGCACGAAAGUGUGGGUAUCAAACAGG
rnacentral:rRNA from 1 species